AUUGAACGCUGGCGGCAGGCCUAACACAUGCAAGUCGAACGAGUGGCGGACGGGUGAGUAAUGUCUGGGAAACUGCCUGAUGGAGGGGGAUAACUACUGGAAACGGUAGCUAAUACAGCAUACCAUCAGAUGUGCCCAGAUGGGAUUGGCUUGUUGGUGGGGUAAAGGCUCACCAAGGCGACGAUCCCCAGCUGGUCUGAGAGGAGGACCAGCCACAUUGGAACGUAGACACGGCCCAGACUCCGACGGGAGGCAGCAGUGGGUAAUAUUGCACAAUGGGCGCAAGCCUGAUGCAGCCAGGCCGCGUGUAUGAAGACGGCCUUCGGGUUGUAAAGUACUUUCAGCGGUGAGGCGUUACCCGCAGAAGAAGCACCGGCUAACUCCGUGCCAGCCGCCGCGGUAAUAC
rnacentral:rRNA from 1 species